UACGUAGGGUGCGAGCGUUAAUCGGAAUUACUGGGCGUAAAGCGUGCGCAGGCGGUUCGUUGUGUCGGUGGUGAAAUCCCCGGGCUUAACCUGGGAAUGGCCAUGGAAACUGGCGAACUGGAGUGCGGCAGAGGGGGGUGGAAUUCCGCGUGUAGCAGUGAAAUGCGCAGAUAUCGGGAAGAACACCCGUGGCGAAGGCGGCACUCUGGGACGGUACUGACGCUGAGACGCGAAAGCGUGGGGAGCGAACAGG
rnacentral:rRNA from 1 species